CCUACGGGUGGCUGCAGUGGGGAAUAUUGGACAAUGGGGGGAACCCUGAUCCAGCCAUGCCGCGUGUGUGAAGAAGGCCCUCGGGUUGUAAAGCACUUUCAGUGAGGAAGAACGCCUGGUGGUUAAUACCCAUCAGGAAAGACAUCACUCACAGAAGAAGCACCGGCUAACUCCGUGCCAGCAGCCGCGGUAAUACGGAGGGUGCGAGCGUUAAUCGGAAUUACUGGGCGUAAAGCGCGCGUAGGUGGCUUGAUAAGCCGGUUGUGAAAGCCCCGGGCUCAACCUGGGAACGGCAUCCGGAACUGUCAAGCUAGAGUGCAGGAGAGGAAGGUAGAAUUCCCGGUGUAGCGGUGAAAUGCGUAGAGAUCGGGAGGAAUACCAGUGGCGAAGGCGGCCUUCUGGACUGACACUGACACUGAGGUGCGAAAGCGUGGGCAGCAAACAGGAUUAGAUACCCUUGUAGUC
rnacentral:rRNA from 1 species